UGGUAUUGUAUAUCCAACCCUGCUCAGCGCACGAGGUUCUGACGAAGGGAAACUUUUGAAAAUAAAUGACCGUUUGACUCUAAACCUGAAAAAAAGCGAGGUUUUCUCCGACGAUUUCAUGUUCAUAUCUGAAGAAAAUGGAGAACGAGUUCAUAUACCUAUGCGAAAAGAAGAUUACGAGAAAGACCUGUAUCACGACGAGGAAUUAAUGGCUUCACUUAUGGUCCGCACUGAUAAUGGCAUCAGAGCGGCGUACAACGUUACGAAGGCGCCUUUGAGAACGCCUUAUGCGUUGGGAACGCAUAAACGCCUUGGAAGCAGCAAGUGCGAGGAGAAGGAAUACU
rnacentral:lncRNA from 1 species